UCAUUGCUGAAGAGUCCAAAAACAGGACGAAACAACAGUCCAGUGC
rfam:Schistosoma margrebowiei strain Zambia genome assembly, scaffold: SMRZ_contig0001017